rnacentral:lncRNA from 1 species
CAAACACUCGUCCACAGUGAAUGCACGAUGACCUCCUUUAUAGAGCUACAGUGAUGAGUAAGUGUCACGGGACAUACGAAGAGACUCACCAGCCCUGACUGUUGAGCACGCAGGUGUCUCUUGGUGCUGAACAGCUGGUCAGACAUCAAGCCACCUCUCAAACACUGCUACGCAAGAACCUGAGCUUUCCUACAUUCUAUGUUCCAGAAGUUUUGGAUGGAACUCCUUGUUUCUCACCUCCACUGCGAUCGCCAUCAUAGAAAUAACAAAACUCAACUGGAUUUUGGUGUUUCUGAGGAACACGCUACACCAAAGCUCGGGGAUCUCAGACUCGCAACUGCUGUGGACUGAAAAGUCUCCUUCCAGUUCACUGUGGCCCUACACAUGCUCCAGCCUAGGCAGACAAAAUAUUUGGAGAAUCCAAACAAACGUCUUAAUUAAAUACAAAGCAAAACUGAGAUAAAAGUAAGUUUCCCAAAAAGAUUCUUAUAACUAUUAGAAAUAGAAGGUAUUUCCA